AAGUCGUAACAAGGUUUCCGUAGGUGAACCUGCGGAAGGAUCAUUAACACGUAUCCAACGUUAAACCCCCCGUGAACCUUCAGUGCGCUCGCACUUUCUUAGAAAAGGUAGCAAUCCCUGGUAAAUCAUUGCCGAACAGUUUUGAUUCAGGGACUUCUGCGUAGACUGUGCUUGAGCGUGAGGCAAGUGGCCUGGCAUUCCUCUGCUUGUUGGUGUCUGAAAGUGUCACCAGCUCUGUACGAGACCGACACGGCCGACAACCGGGUCACUGGGCGCGAGCCCCCCUCGUCACCUUUGCAUGAAAACGGGCCUGCGCUUAAUUGUGCGGCCACCAAACUCGAACAACUGUUAACAAUGGAUAUCUUGGUUCUC
rnacentral:misc_RNA from 1 species